rnacentral:misc_RNA from 1 species
UUUUAUAGUCAUAACCAAAAAUAAUCAAAACUUUUAACAAUGGAUCUCUUGGUUCUCGUAUCGAUGAAGAACGCAGCGAAACGCGAUAUUUCUUGUGAAUUGCAGAAGUGAAUCAUCAGUUUUUGAACGCACAUUGCACUUUGGGGUAUCCCCCAAAGUAUACUUGUUUGAGCGUUGUUUCUCUCUUGGAAUUGCAUUUGCUUUUCUAAAAAAUCGAAUCAAAUUCGUUUGAAACUAAUAAACUCUCAACCUCAGAUCAAGUAGGAAACCAAUUCCUG